GGCAGACGGGUGAGUAACAUGUGGGAAUCUGCCUUGUGGUUCAGGACAACAUUGGGAAACCGAUGCUAAUACUGGAUAAGCCCUUACGGGGAAAGUUUUAAUGCCAUAAGAUGAGCCCGCAUUUGAUUAGUUAGUUGGUGGGGUAAUAGCUCACCAAGACAAUGAUCAAUAGCUGAUCUGAGAGGAUGAUCAGCCACACUGGGACUGAGACACGGCCCAGACUCCUACGGGAGGCAGCAGUGGGGAAUCUUGCACAAUGGAGGAAACUCUGAUGCAGCGAUGCCGCGUGAGUGAAGAAGGCCUUUGGGUUGUAAAGCUCUUUUGUAGGGGAAGAUAAUGACUGUACCCUAAGAAUAAGGUCCGGCUAACUUCGUGCCAGCAGCCGCGGUAAUACGAAGGGACCUAGCGUAGUUCGGAAUUACUGGGCGUAAAGCGCGCGUAGGCCGUUGAGUUAGUUAAUUGUGAAAUCCCAAAGCUUAACUUUGGAACUGCAAUUAAAACUGCUCGACUAAAGUUUGAUAGAGGAAAGCGAAAUACAUAGUGUAGAGGUGAAAUUCGUAGAUAUUAUGUAGAACACCAGUUGCGAAGGCGGCUUUCUGGAUCAACACUGACGCUGAGGCGCGAAAGUAUGGGUAGCAAAGAGGAUUAGAUACCCUCGUAGUCCAUACCAUAAACGAUGAUUGCUAGAUGUUGGAAAUUUAUUUUCAGUAUCGCAGCUAACGCAUUAAGCAAUCCGCCUGGGGAGUACGACCGCAAGGUUAAAACUCAAAUGAAUUGACGGGGACCCGCACAAGCGGUGGAGCAUGUGGUUUA
rnacentral:rRNA from 1 species